rnacentral:rRNA from 1 species
GCCAGUAAUAUAUGCUUGUAUCAAAGAUUAAGCCAUGCAUGUCUCAGUAUAAGCUUCUAUACGGCGAAACUGCGAAUGGCUCAUUAAAACAGUUAUAGUUUAUUUGAUGGUCAUUCUUUACAUGGAUAACUGUGCUAAUUGUAGAGCUAAUACAUGCGCCCAAACCCGACUUAUAGGAAGGGUUGUGUUUAUUAGUUACAGAACCAGCCCAGGCUCCGCCUGGUCCUUUGGUGAUUCAUAAUAACCGAACGAAUCGCAUAGCUUCGCUGGCGAUGAAUCAUUCAAGUUUCUGACCUAUCAGCUUCCGACGGUAGGGUAUUGGCCUACCGUGGCAAUGACGGGUAACGGAGAAUUAGGGUUCGAUUCCGGAGAGGGAGCCUGAGAAACGGCUACCACAUCCAAGGAAGGC